rnacentral:tRNA from 1 species
CGGGAUGUCUUAUAAUGGUAUUAUACGCCCUUCGGGUGGGUGAAAUCCGAGUUCGAUUCUCGGCAUCCCGACCA